GGCUCAAUGUUUUAAUAAUAUUUUUUUCCAAUGCAAAUUAACACAUUUGUUUAAAUUGAAAAAUAAAGGCAGAAUUUUUCUGGAAGGAAAGUACAAUUUGGCUUAUUGAUUUUCAAGUAUAUGUAGUACACAUGUUCCUUUAAUUGAGCUAAAUAUGAAGCACCACAGUUUUGAUUUUAUAUAAAUGUAUCAAAUUCAAGGGCAAAGUAUAAUGCAAAUGUGAGUUCAAAGAGAAAAAAAUUUAAAAUUAAAAAAUCUAAUAAAAAAAGAGUCAUGGAUAUCGAAUUGUUAUGAUUUUCAGAUUUCAUUGAAUACAUUAAAAAAUAAUAGUAAUUUAAAGUGAUAAAAUCAAAUAUAUACUGAAAUUACAUCCUUUGCAAUAAUUAUUUCAACUUAUAAUAUUUUUAGAGGACUUAAGAUGUAUAAGACAUUUAAAAGUGUUCAAAUAUACAAGCUAUUUAUUGAAAAAUACACAGUUUCUUUAGGUAAUUCUUAAGGGAAAAAGUUUGAAGAAUAGAUUAGAGAACAAAAAUCCUCCAAACUCAUAGUCUCUAGCUGCCUUAGUUACUACUAUAUUCCCAGUAGUAACUAUAUUCCCAAUCACAGCCUUGUGACUGAAUGAGUGAAUUGUGUUAAGUGCCCUGAAUGGUAUUAUUGCAAAUUAUUUGCUGCCUAAAAAAAGGACAACCCAGGAGGCCAAUGUUUUCCUACCUAGGUUAGGUAAUUAGUUAGUAGGUAGAGAUUUGGGUCUUGAUGUAAAUGGGGAAAGGAAAGCAAUCCCUACAAUCCUGACUGUCUUCCAGACAGCCCUGGAUGGCUACGUUUACCUUUGGCAGACCCCAAAUAAUGAGAGUAAGAUUAAGACCUAGACUUAAGAUAGCUUAACAAAGUGUUAAGAUCCAAACACGCAUUCCUUGGAGUAUCUACUUCUUGUCUGGCACUUUGUGAGGUUCUGGGCAUGGAAAGAUGAAGAUGACAGGUACAUGGGCAAUAUGCUUAAAGAAAAAGGUCUGAUGAAAUGGGAUAAAUGCCAUAAGAGGAACAUUUCAUGUUAUAGGUUCGAGAACUGGAAACUACAGUUAUUUGACCACUUUUGACCUACACAAACUGGUAACCCACAUGGUUCAACCUACAUGUUAUAUGCAAAUCCAGGUGAAAGAACAAUAAAUCUUGAGGGAUUUUUUAAUCAGGGAAAAUUAUGUGCAGUUGGUGGCAUUUGAGCUGUACAUUGAAGGGUAAGGGAGAAGAUGAGUGGUUGGAUAGGUAGCAGGUGGGGCAUUUGAGAGAGCAUAAUCAACAAAAGCAGAAGUGGAGAGUAAUGGAAGGUACAGAUACCAUCUGGAAACGGACACUGAGCAUUCUUUGCGUUGAGAUCUGGAAAGUGAGGAUAAGAAUAAAAAGGAACCUCAGACUUAUGUUAAGAGUGCUGCCAGCCCAAUAAGACACUGUUCUGCAAGCAAUGGCAAACCAUUGAAACUUUUCUUAGAGGAAGUAUUGUUAACAGAUAUAAAUUUUAGAACACCCCAUUUGUCUGAAUGGGGAAUGGGUUGCAGAUAAGGAGAUUGAAACGAGACACUGAGAUACUUAGGAGGCGGCUGCAAUCGUUAAGGUAAAUAUAAUAGAUGUGUACAGGGGUUGAGGAGUAGGCAUGUUUCUCUGAUGUAAUUGUCAUAGAUUGACCAAUUAUUAGGCUUGAAGGGUUAGUCGAAAGAGGUACAGGGUCAGGAAUGGGGGGAAAGAGUAAACUAAGUAGAGAUACCAGAGAGUAAGAGUAGAGAGUUCUGGGCUAUGGAUCUUGGUUUUUGUUGGUGUGCAUUUGAUAGCCGAAGCCAUGAAAAUGUAUGGGAUUAUCAGGCAAACUUACCUAGGGAGAGCAGGGAAACAGAAUAAGGGCAAAAGGGCAGAGGAGGGAGCUAGGGAUGAAUCUGUACCUUGUACUUUGCCUCAUUAUAUUUCUGUCAUAGCACUUGUUUACCUAAGUGUCUACUUUUUGCAAGUUUGUGAGAUCUCCAAAGAUGGAUAGGAACCAUCUUAUCCAUUCUUUGGAAUUCUCAAAUCUCCACUAUACUCAAAAAGUAGCCACUUAAAGAAGUACUUACUGGAUCAUACCCUUAUUUUCUAGGUACUAGGCAUUGUUCUAAGUGCCACAUAGGUGCCAUUCCAUUUCACAUUUAAUAAUAGCUUUAUAAAUAGAUGCUAUUGUUAGUCCUAUUUUACAGAUGAGGAAACUGAAGCAUGAACUCAUUCAAGGACACAAAGAGUGAGAGCCUGGAUUUAAACUCAGACAGUCUAAAACCAGAGGCCACUGAGUACUAAAGCCUAUGCUAUGGAAUGAGUGGGAUCAGAGUGACUUCUCUUUAGUAAAACUUUGCAGCUUAGAAUUACUUUUAUAAACAAUUCUAGUAUCCUCAAAGUAAUUUUGUAAGAUGGAGGGAGGAGGCAAUACUAUUAUCUACAUUUGAUUUGUGGGUAAUUGAAAGCUAAAGUUAAGUAUAUUCGUGAAGACACACAGUAAGUGGCAAAAUCACCCUUUUAUUAUGAAUUACAUUCCUGUGUUCUGUUCACGCCAUCUUGUUUCCUGCGAAUCCAGUUGUCUCCCCUGUUGCUCAACAAGAUAAAAUGCCUGGGCUGGUAGCUGGAGGCUGGAGGAAGAAUCUGAAGAGAGACACUGUGGAAAAGGCACGGAAAGACCUUUGAACUAGCAGAACAUAUUUCUUUGAGGGACUUGGGAACUUCAUUUUUGUAAAGACUACAAGAUGUCAAACUUACUUGUGAAUUCUAACAUAGUCUCUUUUAUUAAUAAUCGAGAAUGCUUGAAAUUUAGGUACAAACAAUGUAUUAAAAUGAUUGGUUUGUUGGUUGUAAAUGUAAACAGAGAUAAUUUAUUAACUUGUUAUUUAUUCAUCCUUGUUGAGGACAUACUGUAAUGUUUCCUUAGGCGUAACAUCAGCGGUCCCUGUACUGUCUAAAGGCUUCAGUCUCUUUGGAGCCUUCUGUAGUUCAUUUGCUGAGGAGGAUAAGAUUUACCCUCUUCAUAGGAGAAUGGAAACAAGAAUGAUGGAUUCUCAACUCCUAUAGGCAUUUAUUUUACCUAAUCCUCUACCACACAUAGAUUUUCUUUUCUUUUUUUUUUUUUUUUUGGAUGGCUAGUCUUUUAACUAGGAGCAACUCACAAAAGAUUUUAAAGGAAGUAAAAAUGAGAUUGAUAAUAAGCUUUAUACUUGCGUUCAGCUCAUUUUAGUUCAGAAAAAAAAAGUCACUGUACAUCUGACAGAUACUGCCUUAUUUGAAAUUUCUAAAUCUUAGGCAAGUUUGUCCUGCCAUUUCUCUGCCAUUACACAAGAUUGGUUAUCUUGCCAAGUUUCACUAUUACUAAUAUAGACUCUGAAGCAACAAGUAUUACAGUGGAUUUAUUGAAGAGAAAUAUCCUGUUUUGUAAGUUAAAUGUAGAUUUGUUUAUUCAUAUAAAUGGUGAAAGUGUAUUUUCUCUAUGGCCAAUAUGUUUAGGCCCUUAACUUAUAAAAUAAGCAAUGUUAUGGAAAUUAAAACAGAGGUACCUAUAUUAUUCUUGUUUAGGAAAGGAUGGAAGAAAGGAAGAAAAUUCAGUAAUUCUUUCCUAUAAUAUUCACAUUUAUAAUAUUAACUAUUAACAAUUUAUAAUAUAAAAUAUUAAUAUUUAUAUAGUUCUAUGUGCAAGGCAUUAUUCUGAACAUUCAGUCCUCUUUUCAAGUCCAUGAUAAGUAUUAGUGUUGUCUUCAUUACAAAGGCUAGUGAACUAAGUCACAGAGGUGUUAGACAGCUUGCCUGAAACCACAGAGCCAGUAGUAGAAACACUAUCCCAGAGUUCUUGCUCUUAAUUUACGGUGCUGAAAUUGUUGUGGGUCUCAUGAUUUUGACUCCUCUAAACUGGAGAAGACUUCCAAGAGGUGGUGACAGUUUAGAAGAUCUUUGCUUUUUUGUGAGGAUAUGUGGUAUUUGGUUUUCAUAUUUUGUUUGUUUGUUUGUCUGUUUUUGAGACAGGUCUUCCUCUGUCACCCAGGAUAGACUGCAGUACCAUAAUCUCAGCUCACAGUGGCCUCUGCCUUCCAUGCUCAAGUGAUCCUGUCACCUCAGCCUCCUAAGUGAAAAUCUUUGAAAGAUGGGAGUGAAUCUAUAAAAAUGUAAAGCUAGAGAAUUUCAGUAUUUGAAAGUAAACUUCUGAUUCUUACUGAAAUCCAUAACAGUGUUUCUUCAUGAAGCAGAGAUGUGAUGCUGCAUUGAGUUUAUGAGAAACUGAUUACUGAGUGCCAGCGUGGUUUUUCUGUUGAUAUUAUUGAAACCAGGGGCCACAGAUUUUCAUUUAUACAUUCAUGUGCAUUAUUGGUGUCCUUCCUCUAGGUCAUAAGCUCUACAAAUGGAUGUUGUUUCUUCUUUCUUCCUUCCCUCCCUUCCUUCCAUUCUCUAAGUCAGUGAAAUCAGUUAAAUGAGCCAGGCCUUGUGCCAGGGGCUAAUGAGUAAGUAAGUAAGUAAAUAACUAAAUAAAUAAAGACAAGUGCUCUGGCCUUUACAGAGGCUUAAUGAUGGUUUUAAAUGGCCCUCUGUUCAUGUUGUAAGCAGGUAAAAAAGAGGGAAUUGUUACUUCAACCUGGGGUGUUGGGGAAAGGCUUCAAUGGAAGAGGUUAGUACUUGAGUUGAAUCUUAAAAGAUGUGUAGGUUGGGGGUGAGAUGGUCAGAGGGAAAUGGGAAGAACAUUCUAGGAAGAGGAAUCAGCAAGAUUAGCCAAGCCUUGGAGGAGACAAAUAGUAGGACAUGUUAUAGAAAGGGAGGAGGGCAUUGCCUAGAGGGAGCAAAGGGGUGAGGUGAGGCCGUUUGAGCAAGGCUGGAGAAGUAGGGAAAGUCAAGCCAGUUGAGACAGAGGCAUUCAUCACUGAAAAUCCACUUCCCGGACCUACAUCUAACAUAGAACCUUUAUAUGGUUAUCAUGAUUUGAACAUUCCCAGCAGUUUGUAUUGUAGUUUCUGAGAUUCAGGGCUUCAGGGAUGCUAGAUACUUUUAUUAACAUAUUCUAUGAUGUUUUAUAUUGGUCCUGGCAAGAUUAACAUAUUGUUUUCUAUGAUGACAAAUAACUAAUAUGAAAUGAGGAUCAAUUUGAUCUUUCAUAUAAGGCCUAGAGAAUGUUUUUUCACAAUUACCCCAGACCUAGAGGGUCUUUGUUUGCCCAACAGCCAGUGUUGGAUCAAAUUCAUCAUUUGCUUAAAGUCAUCCAGUGGGUUCGUUGCCCUAGCCUACAAGGCCCUGUAUGUUCUAUCAUCAACUCAUACCACUCAACCCCUCACACAUGCUCAACUACCCUAGUCAUUUAGUUCUUCAAAUCCUCAAAGCUUUGUUCUGACUUAGAGUUUCUGUGCUUGCUGCUGCUUUGGCCCAGCUGACUCUUCUCCCAACUGCAUGGCUGGCUCCUCAUCUUUCAAAUUUCAUCUAAGAUACAUUUCCUUCUAGAGACCUUCAUGGGCUGUCCUCUCUGAAGUAUCCUCCUUCUCAGGACAUCCUUUAUUUCCUUAGGAGCAUUUAUUACCAAUAUACAAAAUGGUGGAGAGCUAAAAGCAUUCUCAGCCAAAGACUGCAGCUAUAAAGGCAUGGAAAUGGAGACAGUAUGGUGGCUUGGAGUAAAAUCAAGUCAACUAAAACACAACCAUUGAGGUCCACAAUUAUGGAACAGGCAUGGCUGAAAAUGUAGACAUAUCAUCACAUUUUGGAUCCAGAAGAAAUUAUUCAAUUGGAAUAACCACCUCAUUUUGUAGAGGCAGAAUAAGUUGUCCAAGUCACACAUAUGUGGUUAAAAUUAAAACAAGAGUCUUAGAUUUCUCCUGAGGCUCAAAUCUGGGUGUUACCAGAACUUCUUUCUAUGCUUCAUACUUUAAAUUCCAGUUGCUAUUUGUUUCAAGUUUUACAAGAGCAAUUUUUGUUUUGUGAAAUAUCAUGAACAAAAUACCUAAUUAUUUCUUUUAAAAGCCAAACAAAUUUCAAGAUCCCUAUACUUAGAAGGAAUGGCAGCUGCAAAGUAAAAUGAAGGUACCUAAAAUAUUAUGAUUCCAGGAUUCCAGGAAUUGCAAACAUGGUGUAGCUGGAAAAACAUAAAAAUUGGAGCUAGAACCCCUGAGUUAGAUGACUUGCUAUGUUACCUGAGCAGCUCUGUGUUUAAGCCAUGCCUCUUAAUUUUGAUUCCUUAAUAAAUUCUUAUUUGGUGCUUACUUUAUAUCUUGCAUUUUCCUUGGCUCUGGAGAGGAGAUUCAAUGAUAAUCACAGUAAUAAAAAUCCUGCCUUUACCUAAUUUGGAGUGUUGAUACAUGAGAGAAAUUAGAUGGUAGAUGUGAAAACUUUUUGUAAAGUGUACAAUUCUGUAAAAAUUAGAUAUAACAUGACACCGUUUUCAAUUGCCAGUGUAUGAUAGCAUAGAUGGAGCUUUGAAGAUAUUGAAAGCUCCUGAGCAUAAAGAAAAAAUACACUUAUAUUAUAAGUUUGUGACAUCUUGAAAUUGGAUAGAAUGCUUAAUAAUAAAUGUUUACUAUGUGACAAUCACUUAUUUAUAAUCUCUGUUCUCCUUUCAAAUGUAAAUACAUAAAAACUGUAUCAUUUUUUACUACUAUUAUUCUAGGUCUUACAAUAGUAAGCACACACCAUGCACCAAAUAUUUGAUGAACAAGUUAAUAAAUUAAUACUUUUUGUGUAUAUAUGGAAUUAGUGGAUGUAAGAUUAUGUAAAGUCUUGAUAGAUAUUGUAAAUUCCUCUUCCAAUAAUUGAUUCUACCGAUUUAUUUUUAAUUAUCUAAUUUAUUAAAAAAUAUACUGAGUGCCUGUAUAUUUUAA